rnacentral:rRNA from 1 species
GACGAACGCUGGCGGCAGGCCUAACACAUGCAAGUCGAACGGGAUUAACUAGCUUGCUAGUUAUGAGAGUGGCGCACGGGUGAGUAACACGUGGGAAUUUACCAUAGUGUCUGGGACAACUUCUGGAAACGGGAGCUAAUACCGGAUAAUCCCUGAGGGGUAAAGAUUUAUUGCACUAUGAUGAGCCCGCGGCGGAUUAGGUAGUUGGUAGGGUAAUGGCCUACCAAGCCGACGAUCUGUAGCUGGUCUGAGAGGAUGAACAGCCACACCGGAACUGAGACACGGUCCGGACUCCUACGGGAGGCAGCAGUGGGGAAUAUUGGACAAUGGGGGCAACCCUGAUCCAGCCAUGCCGCGUGAGUGAAGAAGGCCUUCGGUUGUAAACUCUUUUAGAUGAGAAGAUAAUGACGGUAUCAUCUGAAUAAGCACCGGCUAACUUCGUG